AAAACAUUAGCUUAGAGCUUUUGACUUCCGAUUUGAGCACCGAGACGAGCGCCGAUCAUCUUUUCGAUCACGUAUCUAAGUAGGUCCUUUUGGGAAGUAACGACUUGAGGGAGAGAGUGACGUUACUCAUUGAUACAGAGACACAACGAGGUUGAGCUGAUGUGAUGAUGGUGCUGCAAUGAGCGGAGUCUCCAGGGUUGUUAAUAAAUAAUUAACCUGUCUAGAAUAUGUCUUCAUACAUAUGUCUAGCUACUUUCCGCUGCAAGAUGUUGUUGAUGUUAUAGUAUGUUAUGUCAUACUUUGAGUCUUAAGAGAAUGGUUUCAUAUGAUGUAUAACUUGAUUAAUGAUAUUAAUUAAGUUUUAUGUUGUCUUUCAUAGACUGUUCAAAAGAGUAUUAAUGAGUAAAUACGAUGAUUUUUCUUAAGUUAAGUAAGAUUUACGGUUUCAAAUGAUGCCCCUUUCUUUCCCUUAUUCUUUAACCCCAUCCCUAGUCGUAGAUCA